GCGGCGGCGCCUCUCCUCUGCUCGCCCGCGGGCCCGCGCUCGUCCCGGCGACUCUCCUCCCAGCCGCGGCCGCGACGCCGGCGCCACCGCGCAGCGCCUCAGCCCCCGGACGGCGGGCGGGACGCCGCUCUCGAAGGGGACAACAGGAUUUACAUACGUGAAAAUUUCCUAUAAAGACCGUAACAGAAAAAGAAGGAAAAUGCCGAAACCAAUCAAUGUAAGAGUAACUACAAUGGAUGCAGAGUUGGAAUUUGCCAUUCAGCCCAAUACAACUGGGAAACAACUUUUUGACCAGGUGGUGAAAACCGUUGGUUUGCGUGAGGUCUGGUUUUUUGGCCUGCAGUAUGUUGAUAGCAAAGGUUAUUCAACAUGGCUUAAACUAAAUAAAAAGGUGACACAGCAAGAUGUUAAAAAAGAGAAUCCCUUACAGUUCAAGUUUAGAGCUAAAUUCUUUCCUGAAGAUGUUUCUGAAGAAUUAAUUCAAGAAAUAACACAAAGACUUUUCUUCCUGCAAGUUAAAGAAGCCAUCUUAAAUGAUGAGAUAUAUUGCCCACCAGAAACUGCAGUUCUUUUGGCUUCCUAUGCUGUCCAAGCCAAAUAUGGAGAUUAUAGUAAAGAGAUUCAUAAACCAGGCUACCUGGCCAAUGAUAGACUGUUACCCCAGCGUGUUUUGGAACAACACAAAUUGACUAAAGAACAGUGGGAAGAAAGAAUACAGAACUGGCAUGAAGAACAUAGAGGAAUGCUAAGGGAAGAUUCGAUGAUGGAAUACUUGAAGAUUGCACAGGAUCUAGAAAUGUAUGGUGUCAACUAUUUUGAAAUAAAAAAUAAGAAGGGUACUGAAUUGUGGCUAGGUGUUGAUGCUUUGGGCCUGAAUAUUUAUGAGCACGAUGACAAGUUAACACCUAAAAUUGGCUUUCCCUGGAGUGAAAUCAGAAAUAUUUCAUUUAAUGACAAAAAAUUUGUUAUAAAGCCAAUAGACAAAAAGGCACCUGAUUUUGUUUUUUAUGCACCUCGUUUGAGAAUCAAUAAGCGGAUUUUGGCCUUAUGUAUGGGAAACCAUGAACUAUACAUGCGAAGAAGGAAGCCUGACACUAUCGAAGUCCAACAGAUGAAGGCUCAGGCUAGAGAGGAGAAACAUCAGAAGCAGUUGGAAAGGGCACAAUUAGAAAAUGAAAAGAAGAAAAGAGAAAUAGCAGAAAAGGAAAAGGAAAGAAUAGAACGUGAAAAGGAAGAGCUAAUGGAACGGCUAAGGCAGAUUGAAGAACAGACAAUGAAAGCCCAAAAAGAACUAGAAGAACAGACUCGAAAAGCUCUAGAAUUGGAUCAGGAACGAAAACGAGCAAAAGAAGAAGCAGAGCGGCUGGAAAAAGAGCGCCGAGCCGCUGAAGAGGCCAAGUCCGCCAUCGCGAAGCAGGCUGCCGACCAGCUGAAGAACCAGGAGCAGCUGGCAGCGGAACUUGCCGAGUUCACUGCCAAGAUUGCACUUCUAGAAGAAGCCAAGAAGAAGAAGGAAGAGGAAGCUACUGAGUGGCAACACAAAGCUUUUGCAGCCCAGGAAGACUUGGAAAAGACAAAAGAAGAGUUAAAAACUGUAAUGUCUGCCCCCCCUCCGCCCCCGCCCCCGCCAGUUGUUCCUCCCACGGAGAAUGAGCACGACGAGCACGAUGAGAACAGCGCCGAGGCCAGUGCCGAGCUGUCCAGCGAGGGGGUGACGAACCACCGGAGUGAGGAGGGGCGCGUGACGGAGACCCAGAAAAACGAACGUGUGAAGAAGCAGCUUCAGGCAUUAAGUUCCGAGUUAGCCCAAGCCAGAGAUGAAACCAAGAAAACACAAAAUGACGUUCUUCAUGCCGAGAAUGUGAAAGCAGGCCGUGACAAGUACAAGACGCUCCGGCAGAUCCGGCAGGGCAACACGAAGCAGCGCAUCGAUGAGUUUGAGGCCAUGUGAGAGCUGUUCUUUUGCGUACAUGUCCUUCCUAAGCUGAACCACCCGCAGAGAAAAGCAGGCCUGUGCAGAUGUGAUGGGCUGCGCCUACCUUGCCAAAGCACUUGUACCAGUGUGACUGUGGGCUCCAGACAGAUUGGAGGAGAGCGCUUCAACUUUAAGGCAGUGUCCCGUUGUGUUUGGUUUUCUUUGGGGCCAGGAAAUUGAGCACAGUGUUCCAUUACCUCCAUUUGCAUUUCCAUUUGUUGAUUUUUCAUUAUUGUUAACGAGUAACACUAAUAAUCAUGUCUGAUAAAUGUGUGUUCUGACACUUUGUGCAUUUUAAAAGGGUAAUGAUGACUAUUUCAGAGUGCUUAGAUCACUCAGUUCUCCCUUGCCUUUUCCAUAUUGAACCGGCAUAGAUUUCCACAUUCUCAUGUUUGCUCAGUGUACCCUUUUACCCUGCCAUGACCAUAAGCCUGCUGCCAUGCAGAUCAUUGGCAGUAUUUAAAGUGAUUGUAAGUGGCUGGGUGGACAGUCUUGGAUUAUUAUGUAGUAGAUGACCGUAAAUCAUGGCAGAGAACUAUAAAUCAAAGAGAAUAGUGUGUGUGUGGGUUUUUUUUAAAAUCCCAAUAUAAUUAUAUUAUUGGACCUUUGUUACUUCCUUGCUGUCAUCUUUGACAGAUAAAUUGAUUACUGUUUCAUAUUCUGUGAUGUGUGUGUGUAUGUGAGAGACAUUUUUCUUUGCCUUCCACUUCACCCUGGUGUAGACAGCAAGUAGUAGUUCUAGGAGAGUUUAUUGAUGAAACUACCUGUCAACAAGUUAUCUGUGAAAGAUCCAAAAAGUUUUGUUCUUUCAUAAGGUGAUUUAGAAAAACAGAUGUCUAAUUAAAAAAAAGUAAUUAAUUCAUAAUUGAUUUUAAUCAUUAAAAAAAAACAAAUCUGGAAGGCAGCCUGUGAAAGCAUCAGAGUUCCUAGAAGGGCCAGUAGAACUACCUCACCACUACACCUGCAGUGAUUGGUUAUUCAAACAUGAUAGAAUGUGUAAGCUGUAGGUUUUAUUCCACAGAGACAGUCUCAAUCAUGAAAGAAUACUUCGAGAUUUUAUUUUCCUUCAGUAUAUCUUAGUGCUAAUUUUUUAAACUGCCUUCGUUGAGCUGAAUGGUAGGGCUCUGAUUUGUAUCAAAAAUUAUAAGCUUACACUGGUAUGUUUUACUGGAGGGGUGUCAUGUCUGAAGAAAAGUGUGUGUGUGUCUAUGUAAGAUGUAACCUUUGUGGUAUAUGCAGAAUGUCUGUACCUUCAUUUUGAUGAUAGUUCAUGAUCCUUGUUUUUAUACUGUAUUUGUUUUUCCCAUCUCUAAAAAAAUUUAAUCCAUUUUAGAAAUUACAAAUUUAGACUAUAUUAAUUUCCAUCAUGUCUUACCUAAGAAGUCUUUCCCCAGAUGUUCUAAUAUUGUCUUUAUUGUGAAACACCUGAAUUUGAAGAUAUGGAAAGCCUUGUUUUCUCUGUGUGGUUCAGCUACUUUUCAUUUGGUGUUAUGCACUCAAAUUUAUAUUCUGUUAAAUUGCCAUUUAUUAAACAUUUUUCAUGCACAGUAGUUUUAAGUUGUGCCUGAAAAUAUUUCAUGCUUUUUUGAUUUUGCUGACUUUAAAAGGAUUAAUCUGGGCAGACAUUAUGAAAAGGAAAGAUUUUGCUUAAUAUAUUUUUUGGACUUUGUAGGACAAAAGAUAACUGGUUACUCUUGAAGUGACUGUUGUACAAUGGUUAUGCACAUGCUUCAAAAUCCUCCAGAAGAGAUGUUUCUGCUUGCAGUACAUCAGAGGGGUAAAGAGAUCUUGCUCUUCAUGCUUUGAAAUACAAAUGUUCACUUUUCCAAAGCAUUAAAGCAAUUGCCAUAAUAGGUGAAAAACAUGAACUUCUACUGGAUUUUCAUUAAUUUUUCUCAUUUUGACUUGUGUGCACUACCAUUGAUACAUCAGCUUGUUACAGUGUUGAAAAAUUACCAGUUAUAUUUGCUGUUUAUAAUCUAUUUGUAGAUUAGGAAUAAAGUGGAUUUAAUCCAUUUUUAAAGCUGUGUGAAUUUUCUAAACAGAAACAGCCAUUUGCAUAUGAAUUUUCAUAAUUUUAUCAUUAGCAGUUGAGAGCACAUGUCCAUAUAGCAAUGUAAAAAUAUACUAAUGAGUAUUUGGUAAAUUCCGAUAGGUGUUUACCAUUAGCAUAAUUUUGUGUUGUACAAUUAAAAUUACAGUUACAUCUCUAAUUUUGGAUAAUAUUCAGUGGUUAACAAUAAAGUGACAAAAGCUCAUGCCUUCAAGGUCCACUGUUGUUAUUUAACAUAGAUUUCUUGUAUAUUUCCUGAAAAGUAUAGUCCAUCAGAGCUAUGAAUCAUCACAUCUUAAAAAUGAGAGUGGAUAGGGAAGAGCUUUAAAAUUCUCAUAGAUUUACUCUUUACCUCAAAUUACAUCUCAUUUACAAUGGAAAUAAUAGUUACUGCUUCUGUGGAAAAUUAAAUCGUUAAAUUUAUUGUCUUGGCAACAGAGGAUAAUUUAGGAUUUCCAGUCAUUUUUAUUGUAUAGCUGCUAAAUUUGUUUUUCUUAAGUAAGAUGUAGAUUCAUUAUCAUUGAUUCAUUGUCAUAGUAAACCUCUGAUACUCUUUAAAGAAUUGCUAACUGCAAUUGUUUAAAUACAUUUAUCUUGUCUAGAAGCAAAUUGCUUUUUUAAAAGCAUGUUACUAAUUGUAACGAAGUCUAAAAGUGGUAAAUCUUUUCCAAAAGUAAUAAAAACCAGGCAUUUUCUCAAUUUAUAGUAGUAUUUGUCACUAAAUCUAUUCAGGGGCAGAUGGCCACUUCUUUGAUCUUGUAAUCUUUGUUUUGCUUUUUAUCUGAGUUUUUCUUUAAGAUCCAGAAUUACCAUUUACAGACUUAUAUUUAAACUUACUCUUAUCCUUAAAAAAUAUGUCUUAAUAUUAAUGCCAUGAUUACAAAAAAUUGCCAUCUUCUGUUCCAAUUUUAACCACCUGGUAAGGUUGAGAUGUUUUAGAAAUAAAAAGAUAACUGUUUAAAUCCCAAAGCAUCCCACUGUAUGCACACACGAUUGAAACAGCUCAUGUGUUUUGAAAGUUCAAGCUUGGUACUAACACGUAGGGAAUUGCUAACUUUAGCAUUAAUUUUCUGAGCUUGUUAGUAAGAGAAGCUUAAAUACAAUUUGUAUGGAGACAGUUAAAUGUGCAACUCUCCUGGCAGGUUCCUCUCUUAAAUUUGUUCUAAGUGAGCAGAACUUUAACAUGUUAAUACUUUAUGCCUUUUAGGCUAACUAUAACCUACUUGUCAAAUUCUAAAUAUUCCAAAGUGAUAAAUAAUGUCAUGUAGAAUGGCAAUAUCCUGGUACAUUUUGAGAGCUCAAAACUGUAGGUUUUGAUUACAUCAUAAAAAUGUCCAUGCUUCCCUCUACUUGGAAGGCUGAGACACGAGGGUUGCUGCAAGCUCAAGGGCAGCCAGGGCUACAAAGUGAGUUAAGGCCAGGCUGAACAGCUUAGUGAGACCCUGUCUCAAGACAAAAAACAACAAAAAUGUCUGAGUCACCUGAUAACAUACAUUCUGCAGUGGUACAUAGAAAAAGUUGGUUCAGAGUAGUGCCCAAUGUGUCACACUCUCUUUCGCUUGCUAAUUAAAUGAUUUUUAGCUUCCACUUUUUCCUUAGUAAACCCACUCAAUAAAAUGUCUGUUUUUCAAGAAUUUAAGAGCUGCCAUUUUCUCUCUGGAAAAAUGCCUGUUAUCACUUCCAUACUAUGCCCUAUACGUUCUGUAACACAACAGUUUUCUGAUUUGGGGCUUUGUAUUUAUUACUACCUUAGGAGUUUAAGUAUAUCCACUGUUCGCUACGGAAUUUUAAAAAUCCAUCCUUCAAAUGACACAUCCUUUGAAUUCAGGUUUAUAUCUGGCUCUGGAGUUCCCUUGAAAGUGGCUCAAUCUUCUUAUUUAAUAUUUUAGUCAAGGAUGUUUUUAUUAAGAGCUUGUUAUAUUUCAGGAGUCAAAAGCAAUAUUAGAGUGACCAUUUUGGCCACUUUAAAAUAAGCACUCCAAAUGUUUAUCUUAGCACUUUUAGAUUUUUUUGCAUUUAUUUACACAUCAGAGAUGUUUCAGCGUGUCAAUGCCAUGUUGUUGAUUCAUAUUACUUGGAUGCCCAGAUUCCUCCAUGCUUAUUGGCUAGCCAGUUGCUUCCAUCUGUAAAGUUUAUUAUUUUUAUUAUCAUAUUCUGAUUGUUCACUUAUAGUUUUAACAGUUUGGAUUCAUUUUAUUUGUGUGUGUCAUCAACUUUACUCUGAAAAUAGUGAUACUGGCUUUGGGUUUUUAUUUUAAUUUUUUUUAUUUUUACCUAUUCACAGCUAAGUGUCCAUGAUAGUGGCAGUGUGACAUCCAUAUUCCUAAGAUUAUUGAUUUGACUGUCUUUGAAAAAACUCCUGAGAAAACAUAGAUUAUGUGUAUGUCAUAGCCAUGUUGCUUUUUUCAACUGAAAUGUUUUAUCUUGCUUUAGACUUAGAAAUGUGUAUAUUUCUUAGAAUUAUAAGACAGUAUCUUCCUUUUGUUUAUACUGAAAAGUUACAAAAUUCAAGUCAAAUAAUUGAAACAUGCAGUAGUUCCACUUAGGUAAUUAUUUUAAAGUUGUAACUGUUGACUAAAGUAUAUAUUUGUAUAAUGAAGGAAACAUUAUAGUACAGUAUAGAAAAAAUCAACACUAGGAGAGCGACUGGCAGACAGUACGAAUGAAUAGGCAGCGUGGGUCUCUCAACUGUGCUUGUUCCCUAGGAAAUUACUGAGUUUCGUAGAUCAGAUUUUAAACAUUGGUUAACAUAUCCUGAAAGAUAAAGUCCCUAAUUUUAUAAGUUUUCCUCAUGUUAUAGAAAGACUCAUUACUACAGGAAAUCAAGUCUAGUAAUAGAUAAUAUGCAUACUAAAUGCUGAGAAGUUUAGCAGAGUUUUCAAUGUUGAAUAUUUAUGGAUUGUUUUGUGGCAAAGUACACAUAAUAUCUUUAGUUUAUAUAUGAGUAGUAAGACACUAUAUUUCAAAAUUCAUAAAGAGACAACAUCUUACACUUUAGUUUCAAUAGCUUUUGAGUUCUAAAAAUUGACUAGAUUUUAUUAGGAACUGUCGGAGCAAACAAGGAAAGAUAAAGGGAAAACUGAGCUACCAUUGGGGCAUAAGCCCAUGCGUAAACCAGUUCUUCCCUUAACCGUUUUUGAGUUUAUUGUUUAUUGGUAUUAAGUACGUUCAUCACCAGUGUCUGUCUCCAGGUCUUAGGGCCCAAACUGAAGCUCCGUUAGACAGCAGUCGCCUUUUCUUUCCUUCUCUCUUGUCCGUGGGAACCACUGUUACACUUUAUCACUAUACAUUUAAGGUUUCUAGGUACCUCCUAAUAGUGAAUUCAGUAUUUGUCUGUGUCUGACUUAAUAUCCAAGUAUAAGUGUUUAUCAGAAUUUGACUUCAUUGUGAGUCCGGAUAAUGCUCCACUGUAUGCAUGGUGUAGUUUGUUUAUCCAUUCAUCACCUGAUGAAUAUUUGGGUUCUGCGUUUUGGUUCGUAACCAGUGCUGCUAGGAACAUUAGUUUACAGAUUCCUUACUUUGAUUUCUCUUGGGUAGAUAUCCACAAAUUGAAAUGCUGAAUCAGAUGAUAAGUCCAGAUCAGAUGAUAAUUGUGUUUUUUAAGGAGCUGUCUUACUAUGUCCCAGGGUAGCAGUAAUGGACUGCAUUCCUACUAAGUUGUUUCUAUGUCUGACUCGUUGGUAUUUUAAUUUGGUAAUUGAUUUCACAGUUCUGAAUCAGAUUAUUUUCAGAGACUUUCUCUGGAAUUAGAGAUGGAUACUUUGAUUCCAGAUGUGUUGUCUUUCCAAAAAUGUGGUCUUAGCCAUAGUUAAUAUCCAUUUUUGAAUUAUUUAUAACUCAGGAUUAUUACAGUGUGAUGCACACAUAUUAACAGUAAUUCCCUCAAUCUUUGUGUUCUCAUAUAAUUCUAAUUAAGUUGGUGAAAGAAGGGCUUUUUCAGAAAGGUUUUUUAUUUUUUUAUUUAAGGAGAAAAAGGAAAAAAAAAGAACAGAAAAAGGGUACAAGUAAUAUAAAAUUUAAAAAAUAGUAAGGGGCUGCGGAUUUAGCUCAGCGGCAUAAGCACCUGCUUGCAAGCAGGCAGUCGUGAGUUCGAUCCCUGGUACCGAUAAAAACGAAAAAGACAAAUAAUAAUAAUAAAAUAAACAGUAAGAAAUCACUAGUUAAUAGAUUACAUAUUCUCAUCUUGGAAAUAGUUGUUCAAGUUACAAAAUUGAAGCAUAUAAAGUGGACUUUCAAACAGUGAGAGUGCAAACAGUUUUGUUCAGUGAUCCAAAAAACAGUAAUAUGGUUAUCUAUCUUAUACACUUAAACAUAUAUGCAGUUAUAACCUUUAGAGCACUUUCUUUUCCUUUCUUUUGUACAAUGACAAUUACACAUUUUGGGUUUUAUUACUCCCACAGUUCUUAGUACUUUUUUUUGAAGAGAGUGAAACCAAAUGUGACAUAUCAGAACAGAGUCAGUCAAAUCAAAAGGAUGGACAUAAUAGAUAAUGUAAAAACAAAAUAUAAGGUGAUCAACAAUGGUUACCACACUGCCUCUUGUUAUUUUAGGAAGAAUUGGCAGUUAUAAUAAAAUUGAACUAAACAGUAAAGAAUAAAACCAAAGCAUUGGAGACAUUACAGGAUUUAAAAAAAAAUAAUAGUCAAUCGGAAUGGGCAUCAUGAUUCUUUAUUGUCUUCACAGUUAUGCCUAUACUUUCAAUCUUGGUACUAUCAAGCAAAGCAGAAUAGAGGAAAAUCAGUCAAAACAAGAUGGUGAGGGCAAUGCAGGAUUUCAAAUCAAGUUAAUAGGAAAUCAAAGUAGGUUACUAUAAAUGUAUCCUGCUAUUUUUUUUUAUUUUUCCCUUAAUUAAAAAAAUAAAAAGAAAAAAGUAAAUAAAAAAGGGGGGGGAUUGAGGUAAAAGAGGGCAUAACAACAGAACAGCACAGGUCAAAACAUAACCAUUUAAGCAAACCAAUGUUUCACCACAAGAUAUUCUGACAUAAAAAUAGUUACCAUAGCGUCUCUUUCCUUGAAAUCUUUGAGUAUAACUUCUUAUACUGUAGCACCAAACAUAUCACAACACUAUAAAACCAUUCAAGAGAAUGACAUUAUUACAGGGUAUUUAGAACCAAUUGACAGAAAAUGAACAAUGGUUUCUAUAUAAACUCCUUGUCUAUAAAAGUUUUUGCUUAUAUUAUCAUAUAUAAUAAAAUCCAAUAAGAUACAACACGUUAAAACCGAUGGAGACUGAAGAAUACAUGUUUGUUGGGACUUCAAAACAAGAUGAUACUAAAUCAGCACUAGCUAUUAUGAUGCCUUGUUUUCUCCAAAAUUGCUGUUCCUACCUUCUGAUCUUCUCUGCCUCAUUUCUGUUGAGCUCUUUUUCUGUCGUUUGUUGUCAGUUUGUCAUUCUUCAUUUCGUUUUCUGCUCCAUUCAUUGUGGCCUCUCUGCCACUAUUUCUGGAAUCUUGGUAUUUUCCUUUUUUAGAAUACCCUGCAGUAUUCUCUGUAGAGUCGAAUUGGUGGUUGCUAAUUCCCCUAGUUCCUCUUUAUCCUGGAAGCACCUUGUUUUUCCAUCAAUUUCUAGGGACAGUUGUGCAGGAUGUAUCAAUCUUGGCUGGAGGUUAUUAUCUUUCAAAGCUUGAAUUAUUCCCCCCCAGACUCUUUGUGAUUUGAUGGUUUGUGCCGAGAAGUCUGUUGCAAUUCUGAUGGGUGUUCUCUUGUAAGUGAUCUGUUUCUUGUCUCUGACGGCUUUUAAUAUUCUGUUCUUACAUUGGAUUUCUGGAAUUUUGAUUAUUAUAUGCCUGGGUGUAGCUCUGUUUGGGUUGUAGGUUGCUGGGGUCCUGUAUGCCUAAUAUAUCUGAGUAUCUUUACCAUUUGCCAAAUUAGGGAAAUUCUCUUGGAUUAUUUCUGUGAAUAGCUUUUGUAGUCCAUUUGUUUGUGUCCCCACUUCUCUUAUGUUCUUAAGUUAUAGAUCCUCUUAUCUUCUAGUUUUUGUAUAGUUGCUGUUUGUUUUUUUGUUAUUUUUAAGAAGUUUUUCAUUUCAUGCUCCCAUAUUACAAAUCUGCCCUCCCGUUCAGAUAAUCUGUACUUAGUUUCUUUCAAGCUGUUAUGCCAGUUUUCGAUAGUUUUUAGUUUCCUGGUAAUCUCUUUGAACCUGCUUCAUGUAUUCUAUAUUUUCUCUAUCUUCUCCAUCAAACAAUUCUCCCCUUUUUUUCUGUUCUUCCAUCCCACCAUCUGUUUUUUCUUCGGCAGUGCUUAGCAUUUCUCUAACUAUUCUGCUUAUGACUUGCUUCAGGUCAUUAAUAACUUCAUUCCUGAACUCGUCUAUGAGGCUCUGGAGAUAGCGCUUUAUAUCUAUUGGUGCCGUGUCUGCUAUUGUGUGUUUCUCAGGAUUGGGGGCCGAGGACCCUUUCUUGUUGCUCCCUCUUCCCAUAUUCUUUGUUCCUUAUAUUUAAGCGUGUAUAGGAGGCCCAGCUUCCUUCCCUGUCGGCCACAGUCUGUUUGAAUUGUGCCAGCUAGGUGUUCCCGCCCCCUGCAGUGUACUAGGGAGACACAGACCUGGGCAGCCUCUGCUGGGCCCGCCCCUCCAGGUCAACCUAUCCCAAGGCUUCACCUCUAGGCUGCACCUUCAGGUGCUGGGACCUGGGUUGGGCUAGCCUAUUGGGUCUCAGCCAGCAGCAUCUCACAGGCCAGGCACUCCCCACCAGUCCCGCUCGAGAGGGGGAUAUGUGACUGAAGUCACUGCAGCUUCUCGUUCUGGGAAGUCUGCCCAGUCCAAGUAUGUCCUCCGCUGAAGCCUCCUUCUCUAUGUAAGGGUCUGAUUCGCUCACUCACCGCAGGUGGAUGCAGGGCACCCAGCCAGUCCUGCUCCCAACUCCUUUCAAGGCUUCCCACUCUCUGAGCUUUCGCAUCUCUCUCCCUGCUGGGCAACAGCUGGGAUGCAACAGCAGGGAUGCAACAGCGGCUGCAGGUAAUUCAAAUCGCAGUUUCCAGUGGCGGGGGUCCAGCUUCCGUGCUGAGACCUUAUCUGUGCCUGCUGUCUCACCAGGAUUGCGUUUCCAGAUGGUUUCUCUUAAUUUAGUUCGUUCCUGGUCAGCAAAGAAUAUCCCCCUUGCCUGGGACUUCCUGUCCAGCACCAUUGCUAGAUUUCAAGUGCAGUUUCUCCAAGAGCCUCAGAGGCUGCUGUUAUCUAUCCGCCAUGUUCUUCUGGAAUCUUCAGAAAGGUUUUUAUAGGUUAGAAAAUAAAAUUAUGGAAGUUAUAAUUAUUAAAACAUAACCUAGUGAAGGUUAAUUUAGAACAUGUACACAUUAACUACAGUAGUUUUAAAAAACGCGUUUUGGAAUUUUUUAUAGGUUGUUUUGUUUUGAGAUAGGGGUUUCACUAUGUAGUUCAGGCUGGCCUUGAACUCAUUGUGUCGUCCAGGCUGGCCUCAAACUGGUGACAGUCCUCCUGCCUCAGCCUCAUAAAUGCUGGGUUUAUAGGUAUAUGUUCCCAUGCCUGACCACUAGGAUUUUUAAAAACUGAGAGUCAUAUUUGAUUAUGCUCACCCACUUAGCUUUUACUAGAGGGAUGAUGUGAUUCAUGGGCUUCUCCUCAGAUGAUCUCUCAGGGUCUGUCUUUAUUUUCACUUGUUUCCUCCUAAUGGAAAGAUGGUUCCUAAUACAAUCUGGUCAGUUUUUUGACAUUUAAAAACUUUUUAAUAUCGGUGGAUAUAAUCUCUUGGUGAUCCAAAUUGCAAAUAGAUGGUGUCUCUGCAUGCAUUUUGAAAUAUGUCUUGCUGUUUGUGUACAGGUUAAGUAUAGAUUUAGCAGUUUUUUAAUAUGUGUAUUUUAAAAGUAUGUCUAUAAAAAAGUAAAAUCAAAUAUGCAAAAGCAAAUCAUAAUUUAGUGAUGUGUUUAUUUCACUACAAUUGGCACAUGUACUUCAUUGCUUAUUGAGGUUUCUUGAAACUUUUUAUUUGUUCCAGUACCUGACAUUUAUUUCCCCCCAAAUUAGUAAUGUCUUUAAAAGUAGUUAAUCAUUAGUAUGAAAAUGUUUUUGUUGAUAGAUACAAGACAAAACCAUUUUGUCAUUUAGCAGCUUAUAUGCAUUUUUGAGACAACCAUAUAUGUGGGCCUGAGAUGGUAGCUCAGAGGCCCUGGUUUUAAUCUGUAGCAUUUAAAACCAUGAAAGAAGCCCGAGUGAGUAAUGGUCUUCUUAUUUUUGUUCACCUGUUAGUAUUGUGAGUAUUGGUGUUUGUACCCUAAAACUUUGGAUUCCAUUUCAGUGCUUUAUUUACCUUUUAAAGAUUUUACUUGAGAUUCUCCUAGAGUUUUGUUCUGUCUGUUACUGUGGGUGUGCGAGGCCCUGUGCCAGGUCUGUAGAGUUUUUUAAAAAGACAUGUUUUGUCCUAAGCAGUAAACACCGUGUGGUUCGCUCCCAGUGUGUCUGUGUGUUGCAGACACAGGAGGUCCCUUCUCCAUCCCUUACUGUCAGUGUGCUCAGGCCUCCGUCCUUCAUCACCUACUCUUAACUCGCCUAGACAUGUCCCUGUGUCGCUGUUUUAAAUACCGCUGUGUGCUGGAAGCAGAUCUCCAGUCAGGAACUUUCUGACACCGGGACGCACAAGGCCCCCUCUGCACGUGUGUUUCCAUUUUGGUGCCUAACAGGCACUUCGGACUUCCGGCCAAGCAAGCUCAGGGGUUUCUUCCCUGAAACUUCUCCUGCGUCAGUCUUCCUCUUCCCCACCGAGGAGGCACAAGUCCACUGUUUCCAUUAAUCAGACUCAAAUCUCUGGGUUUUUUCAUUCAUAUCUGACAUCUACACCAACCACAAAUCCGUUAACUCAGCGUUCAGAAUUCGUAAUCUGUUAGAACAUAAGCUUCGUUCUUCACUUCCUCACUCUGUUCUAACCACAACUGUGUGAUCACAAUGCCUUCCUUCCAUUCCAAUGUUUUCUUCUCUUACUUGUAGUCUUUUAGGAAAGCAGCUUUAAACAAAUCAGAUUACUUAGCUUCUGCUCGAAAUUCUCCAGAAAUUUUGAAACUCAGAGUAAAAGCCAUGUCCUUCUCCAGGCCUUUCACAGCUCGCUAUGAUUUGAUCCCCAUCACAGCUCCUGGACCCCUCUCAACCCCUCUCAUUCUCCUCUCAUUCAAUAGAACUCACGCUGGCUUCUUUGUUAGCCUUAAAACUAGCUGGCUCAAAACCAGUUUGGAAUGCUUUUCCCUAGAUAUUUGUUGCUCCCUUGUCAUUAAUGUCACCUCAGUGAGGCUUCUCUUACUGCACUUUUUGAAGAUGUGGCUUCCCAUUUCCCCUAUCAUCUAAUACACAGAAUAUUUUACCUUGUAAAAGCAGGAGGCCUGCUUCCUCCCAUUAGAAUGUAAGCUCCAUGAGGGCAAGGGUGUUACUGAUUUAUGUACUCAUGCAUUUAGUGUCAUAGUGGUGUUUGGCACAGAAUAGAGGCUUGUCUGUUACAUGCAUGGCAGUUGAAUUCUGGGAGCUCAGGGGGAAGACAGCCAGUCUUGCUGGAGGGUUCCAGGGAAGCCUCACAGAGCAGAAUGUUCCUGUGCCGAGUCUUUGAAGAUGGGUUCUCAAAUGAGAUUAAAGAUAGAAAAGCUACCAAAUAGAAGGACCUGCAUCUGCAACUUAAAUCAAGGUGCAGAGACUUGGGAAUGUGCUGAAAACUGCCCAGUUGUACUGACAACAUGUAAAGUUUGGGAUUCCGCUAGCGUUUCAUUCUCGUGUGAACAGCAGCUUUAAACAAAUCCCAGGGAGAAUGCAGGGAUUGAACUUGCUCCUGCUGCCUGCCAGCUGGGCUGCCUAGGCGCCUAACUGGGUGAGCGAGGUGCCCUGUCAGUAGCUCUGAACAAAUCAGAUUAUGCUUCUGCUCAGAAUUCUCCAGAGAUUUCCAAACUCAUGGAACGCUAGACAAUCGUGGGGGCAAGUAGGCUGUGGGGUACCUGUCACGUUUGACCUGAACGUCAGUUACAUAAGGAGAGAAACUGGGUUUAGUCCAGGACCUCACCAGGGCAGCGUGGCCAAAGCAGAGAAGGGUGUACAGGAGAAGGCCGCCACGGGAGGGCAUUACUGUGAUACUUAACGUGCUCACUAAUUUGGAAAAAAUCAUUGAAAAGAGUGAUUUUGAGAGGGAUUAAAAAUUACCUUAAAGUUUAAGUGUGCAUUGUCUUCUGUAUAGUUUUUCCCACGUAAGUUUUUUAUCCCUCUUUGUGAUCUUCAAUUUUUUGUUUUAAAAAAUAUUACUGGUAGAUACUUUGAUGUACGUAAUAAUGACAGUGUUCAUCACAGGGACUUUGCACCUGCACAUCCAUCUUCUUUUUUCCCACGCCCCUCUUCCCUCCUUAUUGACAAAGACCUCGCUUCCAGUGAUUCCCUUCUAGUCUUUCUUUCCCUUGUCUCUUCUUUCCCUUCCCCCUUUUCUAAUUUUUUUUCUUCUUUUUUUCCCUUUUAUGUGGUGCUGGGGACAGAACUCAGGCCUUCGUGUAUGCAGGGCAGACUCUGCCCCUGAGCCACAUACAUCCCCAGGACUCUCUUUCCAUUUGAACAUUUUCCUUCCCAUUUCCCAGUAUCUAUCUGUCCCGCAUUUUGGUCCUUAUUUACAUUAACCCAGCACAGGUCAGAAAAACGCUCUUUCUAGCAAUCUCCUCCGACUCCCGCUGGUUGAAGCUGACACUCUGUGGCACGAACCCACCCAAGUCCAGGGAAUUACACACAAUGAAGUAAACAUCUGUUCCCAUAAUUACCUUAUAAGGUAAAUAUGCUCCAUGUGGCCCUCGAAUGACUUAAUUUAUUGAAAUAAUUUCAUCAUUAAAAAAUAGAUGCCGGAGGUUAGGGCCUGAGAAUCCACGUGUGUGUUAAACAUAAUCUGCGGUCCAGGGGAGGAAGCAGAAGACUUGGAAAUAAUUGUGCCUGCUGCCAAGAGAACAGGAGGUCCCUGCAGAGAGCCGGGGAGCACCCAGCCCCUUGCUAAUGUGGGCAGGGCGGCAGAGGUCAGCGUGCUUGUCCGUGGCUGCCCCUCGGCUUCCCUUUCAGGCCAGGGAACAGCUCAGUGAGUGCAGAGGUGGCUUCAGGGCUGACUUGUGCUAGGGGUACGGAGUGCGCGACGCCUUGGGGCUGGUUUCUGACACCAGCUCUGAGGGCGGCCGCUGUGUGAGACAGAGCUUAGGGUUAGGGGAUGGUGCCCUGGCGGGAGGACUGCCAUGGGCUGCAGGGUAGGCAAGUUCGCUUUUAACCUGGGCUACUUUCAGAAGCAUCAGGGAGAUCAAGAGAGCUCUGUAUGUGUUCUGGGGCCACCGAAGAACCUUGAUAAGAGAAGUGUUCACUUGUUCACCCACAUACUCACGUGGUUUUGUUAGUACGUGUUUACAGUACCUGAUUACAUUCAUCAUGGAAGUUGAUACAUGUACGUAACACGUCUUGAUUCUUAUUUCCUCCCAUCCUGUCCUCCAUCUCUAGAUCCCCUUUCCAUUUGCAAAAGGUCAUCCGAAUAUUUUAGUGCCUGCUGCCUACCAGCUUGCCAUCGAGGGUAUUACAGUGACUAAACUCUUGCCCUAAUAAACUGACUUUCUGUGGAAAAGAUAGAACACCAGGAAGCAAAGUAACUAUAAAGUUGCAACUUGAGUAAAAUUGUAAAAUUUGUAAAACUUGUAAAAUUACUAGGAGUUGACCAUCCUUAAACUAUAAAAAUGAUUUUAUGAUACUAUGAAAAAAGUUGGGUUGAAAAAAUACAGAGUUGAUAAUAAGAGGUUGAAAUGUCAGGAAAAGUCUCUCUGAGGAGAGAGCCUAUCCAUUGCACCUGAGGGAAGAAAAAGGUAGCUUUGCUUGGCUUCUUCCUCCAUUUAGAAUGCAAAUACCAGAGAAUAAAAGAGGGCUGGGCCUGGCUGGGGCUGCGGCUACCGGCAGACUUAAUUGUAUCCAAAGAGGAAGCCAGCACUUCCUCAGCUGGGGCAGGCCCAGAGUGGACCUGAUGUCCACCAGAAGGAACAAAGUGACUCAAAGAAAAGCAUUCAAAUACUCAAGUUUAAUGUUGUGUGAAAUUUGCCAGAUUUUACAUGUUAGCCAUUUUGAACUUUUAGAAAAUACAUUGUAAACACAUCAAGAUAUAUGUAUGCUCGCUAGAGGAGGCCUGCUCAGCAAUUUCCAGCCUUUCUGCAAAGGCUCACAGUAGAGAGAAUAGCACUUGCAAAGACCUCAGGCGAGCAAGGCUGGCCUCCUGCAGGAAAGACUGGUGGUGUCUCUGGAGCUUCGGCAACCAGAGGAGAGCGGUAUGUGGAGAUGGUCAGAAGGGGCCACAUCACAGAGGAGCUUGCUAAACCAUGCAGAAAGUCCUCGGGACCUGGACCCAACAUCUGUUGAUUAGUUGGACCCUGAAGACAAAAAUAUUCCAGCCAGAGUUAAACUAAGGUAACUUUGGUGGAGUCUGAUGGUCAGAUAGAAUGCAAAUUUGGUUGAGCUGGGACUCCACGAACCCUGUACCCUGAGGUCACAGUGCUGCUUGUGCUGGAGGAAGGAGAGCUUGUUCUAACCCACAAAAAGAUGUCGCAACACUGCAGUUGUCCCUGAAGGUGGGGACCCAAACUGUACGCACUGUUCCAGAUGCGCUCCUGCCAAAGCAGUAUAAAGCAAAUGUAACAGAACAGAGGCAUCCUCUCCAGGUCCCUGGCGACUGACACAUGGCGAACUUUAGGAUAAGGACACACCAAGACAGUCCUGGUGUUUGGAACUCCCCCAAAGUGUGCAUCGCAGCUGAACUCGAUGACCUGGUACUCCCUCGAGCGUGGCUCUUGCUGAUGGCUCCCUCCUCCUCUCGUGGCUGUUGGGUUUUCCUUUCUUGCUGUUUUCUCUUUCUGAACCCCUCUUGACUGCCUUUCCCAGGGCCAGGCCUUAGGAAGGUGCCCCAGGACUUGGGAUUUCUGCACUGCACCCGCAGCCCCAAGACAUCAUCCCCCAAACAUAUGCCUAAAGGCGUUGGCUUCUGAGAAUCCACUUUUUCUGCAUGACUAGCUUGUAAGGAGGAAUCCAAGGGGGGAAUUUUCAAGAGUUUUCCAUUUUAACAAAAUGUAUGUGGCUGAUUUUGGGCAAGCUCAGUGGUGCACGCUCUGUUCCCAUGUGAUUCUCUGUGGAAUCUGCAGAAAGUGACGCAAACAAAAUUUUUCUUGUCUGGGCUGUUUGUAUAAUUGUAUAUAAAUGUAGCAAUAAAUCUAUUCUAUCAUCA